rnacentral:lncRNA from 10 species
GCUCCACAGCCCACCAACAUCCACAUGCACUUUCUCUGCCCACGUGGGCACUCAGAGAACAAUGCCCCUCAUCCAGACAAGGUCCUGAGGCCGGGCUCCCAUUGCCCCCAUUUCUGAAGGCAUUUCUGGCUCUGCAAGAGAAAGGACGAUGCCAGGGCAGUGAAUCGGCACAUCCGAGGCAUUUCUUCUUCCUGGGCUUGUUUCCAACCCUACCUGCUGGGAGGCAGCAGGAUUACCUGGCUUCCAUCUCAGGAUGGCUCUCAGCCCCCCACAUUGAAGACCAAGAAGGUGAGGGGCAAACCAAGGGCCCUGCCUAUGGAAGCUUCCUGUGAUGGGCUGCAGGUAGCAGGGGCUGGAGAGGGCUGUGGUUGGGGCCACACCAGGCUCCCCCAACCUGAGCAUCCUGGAAGGUGACAGCUCACCCUUGGCAGUGGCAACCCCCAGGCCAGCAGCCCCAUCUGAGGACAGUUGUCUUCAGUGCCAUUGGCUGUGGCAGCACAGAUGGGGGGUGUGAAGACCUGAGGCCCUGCGACUGUAGCACCUACAGCCACUGGAGCCAGCUCUGCACAACUCAGACCUGGGUGGCGAGGACAUAGCUUUGCAGGUGGGCAGCCACAUCCCAGGGGGAGCCUGCAGGCCAGUGGCAGGGUGGGGGCAGGC